AUUGAACGCUGGCGGCAGGCCUAACACAUGCAAGUCGAACGGUAACAGGAAGAAGCUUGCUUCUUUGCUGACGAGUGGCGGACGGGUGAGUAAUGUCUGGGAAACUGCCUGAUGGAGGGGGAUAACUACUGGAAACGGUAGCUAAUACCGCAUAACGUCGCAAGACCAAAGAGGGGGACCUUCGGGCCUCUUGCCAUCGGAUGUGCCCAGAUGGGAUUAGCUAGUAGGUGGGGUAACGGCUCACCUAGGCGACGAUCCCUAGCUGGUCUGAGAGGAUGACCAGCCACACUGGAACUGAGACACGGUCCAGACUCCUACGGGAGGCAGCAGUGGGGAAUAUUGCACAAUGGGCGCAAGCCUGAUGCAGCCAUGCCGCGUGUAUGAAGGAGGCCUUCGGGUUGUAAAGUACUUUCAGCGGGGAGGAAGGGAGUAAAGUUAAUACCUUUGCUCAUUGACGUUACCCGCAGAAGAAGCACCGGCUAACUCCGUG
rnacentral:rRNA from 1 species